rnacentral:rRNA from 1 species
GGUUUGAUCAUGGCUCAGAUUGAACGCUGGCGGGAUGCUUACACAUGCAAGUCGAACGGCAGCACGGACUUCGGUCUGCGGCGAGUGGCGAACGGGUGAGUAAUGUAUCGGAACGUGCCUAGUAGCGGGGAUAACUACGCGAGUGUAGCUACUCCGCAUACGCCCUUCGGGAAAGCGGGGACCUCGGGCCUCGCACUAUUAGGAGAUGGGCCGAUAUCGGAUUAGCUAGUUGGUGGGGUAACGGCUCACUCGCGACGUCUGCAGCUGGUUUGAGAGGACGACCAGCCACACUGGACUGGAGACAUGCACGGCCCAGACUCUACGGAGUGCAGCAGGGAAUUUUGACAAUGGGGGAAACCCUGAUCCAGCCAUCCCGCGUGUGUGCGAUGAAGGCCUUCGGGUUGUAAAGCACUUUUGGCAGGAAGAAACGGCACGGGAUAAUACCCCGUGCAACUGACGGUACCUGCAGAAUAAGCACCGGCUAACUACGUGCCAGCAGCCGCGGUAAUACGUAGGGUGCAAGUGGUUAAUCGAAAUUAUCAGGCGCAGUGUGCGCAGGCGGUUCGGAAAGAUGAACCAGAGCUUAACUUUGGAACUGCAUUUUUAACUACCGAGCUAGAGUGUGUCAGAGGGAGGUGGAAUUCCGCGUGUAGCAGUGAAAAUGUGUAGAUACAGGAGGAACACCGAUGGCGAAGGCAGCCUCCCUGGAGCAACACUGACGCUCAUGCACGAAAGCGUGGGGAGCAACAGGAUUAGAUAUUCUGGUAGUCCACGCCCGUGAAACGAUGCCGACCAGGCUGUUGGGGCCUUCGGCUCGGUAGCGCAGCUAACGCGUGAAGUUGACCGCCUGGGAGUACGGUCGCAAGAUUAAAACUCAAAGAAUGAUGACCACAAGCGGUGGAAGAGGGAUUAAUCGAUGGCAACGCGAAAACCUUACCUACCCUUGACAUCUGGAAUCCCAAAGAGAUCGGAGUACCGCAAGAGAACGGAACAGAAAGCCGUAUGGCUGUCGUCAGCUCGUGUCGUGGAGAUGUUGGGUUAAGUCCCGCAACGAGCGCAACCCCGGUCAUUAGUUACGAAAGGGCACUGAUGACUGCCGGUAUGUUCGAGAAGGUGGGGAUGACGUCAUCCUCCUUGCCGGCCUUGGCGGGGCAGGGGCUUCGACACGUCAUACAAUGGUCGGGACAGAUGCCAACGCGCAGGGGGAGCCAAUCCCAGAAACCCGAUCGAGGUCCGGAUCGCAGUCUGCAACCACCGUAGUCGGAAUCGCUAGUAAUCGCGGAUCAGCAUGUCGCGGGUGUGAAUACGUUCCCGGGUCUUGUACACACCGCCCGUCGUUAUUCAUGGGAGGGGCUUUACCAGAAGUAGUUAGCCUAACCGUAAGGAGGGCGAUACGGUAGGAUUCAUGACUGGGGUGAAGUCGUAUAAGG